rnacentral:rRNA from 1 species
GGGCCCGCACAAGCGGUGGAGCAUGUGGUUUAAUUCGAUGAUACGCGAGGAACCUUACCAGGGCUUAAAUGCAGAACGACCGGGAUGGAAACAUCCCUUUCUUCGGACGGUCUGCAAGGUGCUGUCAUGGUUGUCGUCAGCUCGUGCUGUGAAGUGUCGGGUUAAGUCCCAUAACGAGCGCAACCCCUAUUUCUAGUUGCCAGCGGUUCGGCCGGGGACUCUAGAGAAACUGCCAGCGUAAGCUGUGAGGAAGGUGGGGAUGACGUCAAAUCAUCACGGCCUUACGUCCUGGGCCACACACGUGCUACAAUGGUGGGGACAACGAGUCGCAAAGGGGCGACCUGGAGCA